rnacentral:misc_RNA from 1 species
AACUUUCGGCAAUGGAUCUCUUGGCUCUCGCAUCGAUGAAGAACGCAGCGAAAUGCGAUAAGUAAUGUGAAUUGCAGAAUUCAGUGAAUCAUCCAAUCUUUGAACGCACCUUGCACCCUUUGGAAUUCCGAAGGGUAUGCUCGUUUGAGUGUCAUUGUACUCUCACACUCCUCUGAUCCUUUGGAUUCGGGGAGCGGUGGACUUGGGUGUUUGCUGCUUUCCUUGUGGCUCACCUUAAAUGCGUCAGUGCACCUCUUGGUUGGACAUAGUACGGCGUGAUAAGUGUCUUCGCCGGCACCUCGCAAGAGGGUGGCCGAUCGAGAGCUCUGUGCUUUCAAACCGUCUUCGGACACUUUCUGACAACUUGACCUCAAAUCGAGUAGGACUACCCGCUGAACUUAAGCAUAUCAAUAAGCGGAGGCU